rnacentral:misc_RNA from 1 species
AACGCACAUUGCGCCCUCUGGUAUUCCGGGGGGCAUGCCUGUUCGAGCGUCAUUACAACCCUCAAGCUCUGCUUGGUGUUGGGUGUCACUAUUCUAGUGCGCCUUAAAAUCAGUGGCGGUGCCAUUCGGCUUCAAGCGUAGUACAAUUCUCGCCCUGGAGCCUGCGUGUGCGCUAGCCAAAACCCCUAUUUUUCACAGGUUGACCUCGGAUCAGGUAGGGAUACCCGCUGAACUUAA